rnacentral:rRNA from 1 species
UACGGAGGAUGCGAGCGUUAUCCGGAUUUAUUGGGUUUAAAGGGUGCGUAGGCGGGAUUAUAAGUCAGCGGUGAAAGUUUGAGGCUCAACCUUAAAAUUGCCGUUGAAACUGUUUUUCUUGAGUAUAUUUGAAGUAGGCGGAAUUCGUGGUGUAGCGGUGAAAUGCAUAGAUAUCACGAAGAACUCCAAUUGCGAAGGCAGCUUACUAAACUAUAACUGACGCUGAAGCACGAAAGCGUGGGUAUCAAAC